rnacentral:lncRNA from 10 species
UGGUCUCACUCCCACAGUGCCUCCCCUAACAGCACCAAAUCUGUUUCCAGGCAGUGGGCAAGCAGGGCUGAGAAUUGCCCCAGACUACCCACCUCCCAGCUGCAAAGGAAAAGGGCUCAGUUCUUCCCCCACCUGUGGAGUCUGCAUGCUGGAUUCCCGUUCUCCCCAGAGUUCUGGCCAGGAGGCUUCUUGCCUGGUUCAAAUUGUUAUGAAGUUCAGCUGGAGACUUCCUUCUCCCUGUGGCAUUUUCCCCACACCUCUAGCUGCCCUCCUGAAGGAUCCUGGUGGUGCCAGUUGUUCUGGAGCUAAAAUUCAUGAUGUGAGCCUCCGUAUGCUGCUCUGUCUGUCCAAGUCGGAGCUGCAAUCUGGUUCUGCCUCCUGUCUGCCGUGGUGAUCCCUGUUGUAGUUUCUGUGUGUCUUCUUUUGAGAAAUGCCUUGCGCCCUCCCGCUCUUCCAGGAUAACUCAGGGCCUCCAUCUCCUCCUUUGAAAACUCCGUUCCUCCCCUUCACCUCCACCUGAUUAUUCAUGUCGUGAAGAAACUGGUCUACUUGUCCUGUAGAAUC